rnacentral:rRNA from 1 species
CCAAGUUGAGUGGCGAACGGGUGAGUAACACGUGGGUGACCUACCUUCGAGUGGGGGAUAACGUCCCGAAAGGGACGCUAAUACCGCAUAACAUCCUGCCUUUGAACAGGCGGAGAUCAAAGCCGGGGAUCGCAAGACCUGGCGCUUGAUGAGGGGCCCGCGCCUGAUUAGCUAGUUGGUGGGGUAAUGGCCCACCAAGGCGACGAUCAGUAUCCGGCCUGAGAGGGCGGACGGACACACUGGGACUGAGACACGGCCCAGACUCCUACGAGAGGCAGCAGUGGGGAAUUGUUCGCAAUGGGCGCAAGCCUGACGACGCAACGCCGCGUGGAGGAUGAAGGUCUUCGGAUUGUAAACUCCUGUUGCUCGGGACGAAAAGCUUCGACCUAACACGUCGAAGUCUGACGGUACCGAGUGAGGAAGCCCCGGCUAACUCUGUGCCAGCAGCCGCGGUAAUACAGGGGGGGCAAGCGUUG